rnacentral:rRNA from 1 species
GUGGAUUAGAUACCCGGGUAGUCCGCACCGUAAACGAUGAUUACUCGUUGUUGGCGAUAUGACAGUCAGCGACCAAGCGAAAGCGAUAAGUAAUCCACCUGGGGAGUACGCCGGCAACGGUGAAACUCAAAGGAAUUGACGGGGGCCCGCACAAGCGGAGGAGCAUGUGGUUUAAUUCGAUGAUACGCGAGGAACCUUACCUGGGCUUGAAAGUUAGUGACCGUCUCUGAAAGGAGAUUUUCCGCAAGGACACGAAACUAGGUGCUGCACGGUUGUCGUCAACU